CCUACGGGAGGCAGCAGUGAGGAAUAUUGGUCAAUGGGCGGAAGCCUGAACCAGCCAAGUAGCGUGCAGGAUGACGGCCCUACGGGUUGUAAACUGCUUUUAUACGGGAAUAACGCGCCUUACGUGUAGGGCUUUGCAUGUACCGUAUGAAUAAGGACCGGCUAAAUCCGUGCCAGCAGCCGCGGUAAUACGGAAGGUCCGGGCGUUAUCCGGAUUUAUUGGGUUUAAAGGGAGCGUAGGCCGCAUGUCAAGCGUGCUGGGAAAGUUCCGGGCUCAAACCGGGCCGUGCAGUGCAAACUGGCGGGCUUGAGUCAGCGGAAAGCAGGCGGAAUUCGUGGUGUAGCGGUGAAAUGCUUAGAUAUGACGCAGAACCCCGAUUGCGAAGGCAGCUUGCUGCAGCGGAACUGACGCUGAUGCUCGAAAGCGCGGGUAUCGAACAGGAUUAGAUACCCGGGUAGUC
rnacentral:rRNA from 1 species